GGCAAAGCUCUAGGGCAGGAAGCCAUGGAGGCUGGCUGUCAGGCCUCCAUCCUAACUUGAUUUGCCAUGUGGGAGAGAAUGUCAGGUGUGUUGGGGUCUCUGUUUUCAGGGCGAUGUUGAAGUGAGAGCAUUUGCCUCGUGGUGGGUGACCAAGCUGUCUUCUCUGUGCAUCCCUGCAACCCAUUUUCACUGGAGAGGCUGCUCUCUCCUGUGGAGGCAUGCAUUAAUCUUCAGAUUCUGCAGCUCCGAGCAGCUGCAUUAAGUCCAUGGCUGUGUUGAUCUGCCCUGCAUGCUGCAGAGGUGGCGAAGCCUGUCUGCAUUGAGUUUUUGACAGGAACCUCAAGGCUGCAUCCAGAUGCUCUCUUCAUCAACUGUGUUAAUGAGAAGAGAGACCAAAAGUGGCCUCUGUGCUGAGUCACGUAGGGUGACCAUGCUCUCCAGAACCAGCCUCUCCUUCUCACUGUGGCAUGUUGCAAGAUCUUCCACAUGACCUACGAUCUGGCCAGUGCAGUUGUGCGGAUCGUGAACCUGAUUGGGAUGAUGCUGCUGCUGUGUCACUGGGAUGGCUGCCUCCAGUUCCUCGUGCCUAUGCUGCAGGACUUCCCCGAUGAUUGCUGGGUAUCCCUCAACCGCAUGGUGGGCCUUCCUUCGCUAUCCAACAGGCACUGGUAAAGCCGCUGUGGGUGUGGGGACUCUUUGGGGACAAUCUCAACAACAGGACAGUGUCAGGACUGCAGAGAAGGAACCAGGCAACGGAGCCCCUGCAGCAGAAGGCAAGAGCCAGGCUCCGCCUCCU
rnacentral:lncRNA from 1 species